rnacentral:rRNA from 2 species
UGCAAGUCGAACGGAAAGGCCCUUCGGGGUACUCGAGUGGCGAACGGGUGAGUAACACGUGGGUGAUCUGCCCUGCACUUUGGGAUAAGCCUGGGAAACUGGGUCUAAUACCGAAUAUGACCACGCGCUUCAUGGUGUGUGGUGGAAAGCUUUUGCGGUGUGGGAUGGGCCCGCGGCCUAUCAGCUUGUUGGUGGGGUAAUGGCCUACCAAGGCGACGACGGGUAGCCGGCCUGAGAGGGUGACCGGCCACACUGGGACUGAGAUACGGCCCAGACUCCUACGGGAGGCAGCAGUGGGGAAUAUUGCACAAUGGGCGCAAGCCUGAUGCAGCGACGCCGCGUGAGGGAUGACGGCCUUCGGGUUGUAAACCUCUUUCAAUAGGGACGAAGCGCAAGUGACGGUACCUAUAGAAGAAGGACCGGCCAACUACGUGCCAGCAGCCGCGGUAAUACGUAGGGUCCGAGCGUUGUCCGGAAUUACUGGGCGUAAAGAGCUCGUAGGUGGUUUGUCGCGUUGUUCGUGAAAACUCACAGCUUAACUGUGGGCGUGCGGGCGAUACGGGCAGACUAGAGUACUGCAGGGGAGACUGGAAUUCCUGGUGUAGCGGUGGAAUGCGCAGAUAUCAGGAGGAACACCGGUGGCGAAGGCGGGUCUCUGGGCAGUAACUGACGCUGAGGAGCGAAAGCGUGGGGAGCGAACAGGAUUAGAUACCCUGGUAGUCCACGCCGUAAACGGUGGGUACUAGGUGUGGGUUUCCUUCCUUGGGAUCCGUGCCGUAGCUAACGCAUUAAGUACCCCGCCUGGGGAGUACGGCCGCAAGGCUAAAACUCAAAGGAAUUGACGGGGGCCCGCACAAGCGGCGGAGCAUGUGGAUUAAUUCGAUGCAACGCGAAGAACCUUACCUGGGUUUGACAUGCACAG